CGCUCGACGGGGGGUCGUGCGCUGCCUCUCUGCGUGCCGCGGUGCGACGCCGUUCCCGUGGGGCCUCUAACCUGACUUCAGCGGGCAUCGCAACACAGGAGAGCAGAGACCAAGCUGACAGUGGAGAGGGCUCCCAUUAUGCGUUUCGGUGGUGCGGCGGCGCGGUUCCUUCCGUCGCUUUACGACGAACCUGCACCUACCUGUAAACAUUGUCUCAGCAUAUCGUCAGUAGGGAAGCCGAGCGAAACCUACUGUACUUCGACGAGAACCAGGCUACAAUUACAGUUACUAAUCUACGUUUCGGGAAUCACUCGACUUCUAUUUGCCUCGUCCCUGUAAAGGAAGUACAAGCCUGGAAGUGGGACUACCGUUACGGAAAGCGAGGCGGUCGUGCUCCAACUUGUACGGAAGAGACUGACCAACAAGAAGCUGCCAAAACUACCUCUUCACUUACGACUUCGUUUCGCUUUCUAGAACUGAAGUUAAGAAUACCAACCAGCACUUUAUAGUGUUAAAACUACGACGACUGUUGACAAGUCACAGCUCACCCUAAUGUUCUCUGUCGCAGGUAAAGUUCUCGAGCGGAGCAGGACUUCUCUGACAUACGAGAUGCUGGUUGGCUCUCGCCACUAUUCUUCGUCUCCGCCUGUGCCAGAAUGUAAUUGCUUCAGGUGUGAUCCUUGAAGGAGAAAGAGGUUACACAUCACAGAAGAGGGUACACCUUCAUAAAAAAAAGGAUGGUACACUUUUGGUCGGUGCUGGCGAUCCGGCACACGGCGGACGCCGAACACUUGGACGACGACGACGACGUCUUCUGCCCGCUGCGACGGCUUCGGCGAGGAACAAGACCUGCUAGUGGGUGACUAGAAGCGAUCACGUACCGACUCGCCGGCCGCCGCUACCCCGGUCGUCGGCGCCGGCGCCGCUGCCGGAGCCUCCUCCUCGUGCUCGAGGUCGGAGGCGGCGGGCGACAGCGACCCGGAGCUGCUGAACAUGGAGUUGUCGUCGAGCGUGGGCGUCGCCUGGCUCAGACCCUCCAGCUCCUGCAACACACGGCCGGCGCGCGUCAGGCGGCUGCUGGCGCGGCAGGGGGCGGAGCUGCGCCUUGCGGGAUUCCAGAGAGUUUUCCCGUGUGAAAAGCACAUGGCGUUGGCCAUUUUCUGUUGCGCUACAUUCAUAUUAGUAUGUUCCCGAAUCAUAUCGGUAGUGUUAUGCACUUUUCAGACGGGUAAUCAUGGGAAAAUAGCUACAUAAUCUGGAAGUAGCUGUGUGACUAAGUAGACUGAAUGUACACUACUGGCCAUUAAAAUUGCUACACCACGAAGAUGACGUGCUACGGACGCGACAGGAAGAAGAUGCUGUGAUAUGCAAAGGAUUAGCUUUUCAGAGCAUUCACACAAGGUUGGCGCCGGUGGCGACACCUACAACGUGCUGACAUGAGGGAAGUUUCCAACCGAUUUCUCAUACACAAACAGCAGUUGACCGGCGUUGCCUGGUGAAACGUUGUUGUGAUGCCUCGUGUAAGGAGGAGAAAUGCGUACCAUCACGUUUCCGACUUUGAAAAAGGUCGGAUUGUAGCCUAUCGCGAUUGCGGUUGCGGUUUAUCGUAUCGCGACAUUGCUGCUCGCGUUGGUCGAGAUCCAAUAACUGUUAGCAGAAUAUGGAAUCUCUGGGUUCAGGAGGGUAAUACGGAACGCCGUGCUGGAUCCCAACGGUCUCGUAUCACUAGCAGUCGAGAUGACAGGCAUCUUAUUCGCAUGGCUGUAACGGAUCGUGCAGCCACGUCUCGAUCCCUGAGUCAACAGAUGGGGACGUUUGCAAGAUAACAACCAUCUGCACGAACAGUUCGACGACGUUUGCAGCAGUAUGGACUAUCAGCUCGGAGACCAUCGCUGCCGUUACCCUUGACGCUGCAUCACAGACAGGGGCGCCUGCGAUGGUGUACUCGACGACGAACCUGGGUGCACGAAUGGCAAAACGUCAUUUUUUCGGAUGAGUCCAGGUUCUGUUUACAGCAUCAUGAAGGUCUCAUCCGUGUUUGGCGAUAUCGUGGUGAACGCACAUUGGAAGCGUGUAUUCGUCAUCGCCAUACUGGCGUAUCACCCGGCGUGAUGGUACGGGGUGCCAUUGGUCACACGCCUCGGUCACCUCUUGUUCGCAUUGACGGCACUUUGAACAGUAGACGUUACAUUCCAGAUGUGUUACGACCCGUCGCUCUACCCUUCAUUCGAUCCCUGCGAAACCCUACAUUUCAGCAGGAUAAUGCACGACCGCAUGUUGCAGGUACUGUCCGGGCCUUUCUCGAUACAGAAAAUGUUCGACUACUGCCCUGGCCAGAACAUUCUCCAGAUCUCUCACCAACUGAACACGUCUGGUCAAUGGUGGCCGAGCAACUGGCUCGUCACAAUAUGCCAGUCACUACUCUUGAUGAACUGUGGUAUCGUGUUGAAGCUGCAUGGGCAGCUGUACCUGUACACGCCAUCUAAGCUGUUUGACUCAAUGCCCAGGCGUAUCAAGGCCGUUAUUAAGGCCAGAGGUGGUUGUUGUGGGUACUGAUUUCUCAGGAUCUAUGCACCCAAAGUGCGUGAAAAUGUAAUCGCAUGUCAGUUCUAGUAUAAUAUAUUUGUCCAAUGAAUACCCGUUUAUCAUCUGCAUUUCUUCUUGGUGUAGCAAUUUUAAUGGCCAGUAGUGUAAAACAUUGUCUUCUUUCAAGUGAAUCACUGGCAACCUUAGCGGCCCAAAGUACAGACACAAAGUUUUCAGAAAAAUAGAUGUUUGUGGAAAUUGAAAUUGUAGGCAAACCACAUGUCUCAUAGGUCAGACUUAUUUUUUAACCACAUCUCAAAGAUCCUAUUUUCCGUAUAAAAAUAAUGAACCCAUUUUAUGUUACGAAAUUUCAAUUAAAACUUUGGAUUGUUAUUAUUAAU